rnacentral:rRNA from 3 species
GGACUACCGGGGUAUCUAAUCCCGUUCGCUCCCCUGGCUUUCGCGCCUCAGCGUCAGCAGAGAUCCAGCAGGGCGCUUUCGCCACCGGCGUUCCUUCCGAUCUCAACGCAUUUCACCGCUCCACCGGAAGUUCCCCCUGCCCCUACCUCCCUCCAGACGGUCAGUAUCCCAGGCGCUGGUCCGGUUGAGCCGAACGCUUUCACCCCGGACUGGACCGCCCGCCUACGCGCCCUUUAAGCCCAGUGAUUCCGAACAACGUUUGCACGGUUCGUCUUACCGCGGCGGCUGGCAC